rnacentral:rRNA from 1 species
AUGCUAUUCAAUAUAGUGGCGGAUAUGCUAGCAGUCAUGAUUGAGCGUGCCAAGGCUGAUGGACAAAUUGAUGGGGUAGUAAAUCAUCUAGUUGAUGGUGGCCUCUCCAUACUUCAGUAUGCCGACGAUACAAUUCUCUUCAUGGACCAUGACCUCGAGAAAGCGAAAAAUCUGAAAUUAAUUUUAUCAGCAUUCGAGCAACUCUCAGGUCUUAAGAUUAAUUUUCAUAAAAGUGAAUUGUUUUGCUUUGGCGAGGCCCAAGACGAGGCUCACCUGUAUGCUGAAUUGUUCGGAUGUGGGUUGGGCCAGUUUUCGAUCACAUAUUUGGGGAUACCGAUACAUUAUCGGAGACUUACAAAUGCUGAAUGGAAACACAUCGAGGAGAGGCUGCAAAAAAGACUUAGCAGUUGGAAAGGUAAGCUGCUGUCUCUAGGAGGAAGAUUGGUCCUAAUAAAUUCAGUACUAAGUAAUAUGGUAUUAUAUAUGAUCUCCUUCUUCCAGUUGCCAAAAGGAGUUUUACAUAGAUUGGAUUAUUUCCGAUCAAGAUUCUUUUGGCAAGGAGAUAGCGAGAAAAAGAAAUAUCGAUUGGCUAAAUGGAGUGUGGUUUGCCGUCCCAAAGACCAAGGCGGGUUGGGCAUUCAUGACCUUGAGGUUAAGAAUAGGUCCCUACUCGGCAAAUGGUUGUUUAAAUUACUAACGGAAGAUGGUGUAUGGCAAACCCUCCUCAGAAGGAAAUAUGUGGGCUCCAAGGCAGUAUCCCAAGUAUAUUGGAAGCCCGGGGAUUCUCACUUUUGGGCGGGUCUAAUGGCUACGAAGAAAUAUUUCUUUUGCUAUGGAUCUUUCUCGAUUAAGGAUGGCUCGGAAAUUAGAUUCUGGGAGGAUAUGUGGCUAGGAAAUGCCACUCUCCGGGAACAAUAUCCGGCUCUAUACAACAUUGUACGUCACAAGGGCGAUACUAUCGCCACGGUAAUGGAAUCAUUUCCGCCAAAUGUGACAUUCAGAAGGGAUAUAUUUGGACCCAGACUACAAUCGUGGAACAUCCUGCUCCAGCGGUUGUGA